ACGAACAUUUUUAUAACUAUUUUAAACGUUGAGUAGUUCGUACCCCUGUGUAUAGAUGGCGAUAUUAUUUUGUUUGUGAUAAAUUACAUUUUCUUCGUUCUUUCAUUUCUCGUACUAGUGUUCAUUUUUCUUCGUUGAAAAUGUUCGUGAUGGCUGUAAACCUUUCAACUCUUUUCACUGUUGGAACUAUCGGGCUGCACACGAAAUGUAAAUAGACGUCUUGCUUCGUGAGACGCUAGAGAUCCGAGGCUUUCCGGGUCAUCGAGAUCCUGUUGAUGAUGGUCAGUAAAUAAAAAACACGAGUACCAUGCGGAACCCGGAUUUCCUCCGGCCAUUUGUUUUUUAUGUUGCGGCGUUUUACGAGCACAUCACUACGAUUCCUGAUCGGGCCGAUGAAAAACUUGAGAAAUCGAAUUCCUGGUUUAAAUGUCGCAGCUAUUUAUGGGUAUUCAAUGUCUUUUUUACUGGAUCUUUCAAACAUAUCGAUAAGGGUAGAAUAGAAGACAAAACUUUUAAUUACAACAAUAACUUCGUUCACUGAAGAUUUACGUUCAAUUUGUUUGCAUCGAAAGAGAAUAAGCAAGAUGUCUUGGUUCAAAGCUGUAUCAUGAUUAAAUGCAUUUGAUUGCAAUAAUUGUUGAACCUCGUGAAGAAUUCAUCAGUGCGUUGGAACGCGGAGCAACCUACUGCAAUUUCUAUUCAAAUGCGAGGGGUUUACCUCUACAGAUUUCCUAAGGGUGGUUUCCAAAAAUGGAUUUUCGAUUUAUUACUCGAAUCAAACGAUGCGCCUAUUUCUAUACAAUUAUUCUCUUCUUACAGAAACUUUUGCCGAUAAAAACUUGUAGCGAAGGAGAAGAAGAAGAAAUCCACGUUGAUAAAAUCGAAAUCGAAUCAAAUAUUCAGGGGAUUUUAUCCCUGUUUCUAAACUUUUCAUUAUCCGAGAAUAUGGAAAAAUCUCCGAGUUAAGUAUUCUCUCUUUAUCUCAUUAACUCUUCAUGGGCAAUCGACGCAUAAAUACGACCUAUAAGUGUGAACAAUAGAAAGUUGUACGCUUUGCAAAGUGGAAUUUUUACUUAUUUUAGUCUAAAUUAGCCUUACAUAUACUGUCAAAAUUAAGAACACUUCGUUCUUUGAUGAGCGAUAGUAAAAUAAUAGUUCUCGAUAAAGUUUCAAGUAUACCAAAAGAAGUUAAUUUGCUUGCAAUAAUUAGUAGUGAUUUGGGUUUCUAGAAACAGGGGUGAAAAAUCAGCAUCAAUCGGAAACGUCUCACAAAGGGCUUACCUUCGUCUAAGAACAGUGUUCCACGAAACAGAAAAAAAUCAUCCGGGGUCAGCAAGGAGAGGGUACAACGAGCUAUUUUGCGAUUGGUCGCUGGCGAGGGUGGUUGGGAGAGACUAUAUAAAGCGUUUCACGGAUCAUGAUACAUCGCAGUUGCUUUUACGUGUUGCUUCACCGGUGUUUCCACAUUUUGGCUUUAUCAAAACGUGUUUGUGGUAUCACAACGAUCAUUGUACCUCGAUAGAGCACCUAGGUGCUGACAAUGAUUUGAUUCUUCCGGUGAAGUUGCUCGUGAUCGUGAAAACAGAGAUUGAAGAAAGGCUGAACGAGUAUUUUUUAAACUGACGUGCUUUUAAUUGACAAUCGAAGUCUGUGACAUUUUGCAGACAGUUAAACGAGGUUGAAUAUCUUAGCAGGAAAGUAAUUUUCAGCGAGGAAGUUAUUUAAACACAAUAGAAUUAUUUACAGUAAAUUAUUAAACUCGUUAAAUAUAAUUUUUAGAUUAAGCUCGUGAGAGGAAAUGUGAUUAAGUUUUAUUGGUAUCAGUUUUCGAAUAGAUUGUAAUGAAAGAAUUUUUUUCUUUAGUGUAACUUCUUUUAUUUUUGAUAGCGUUUGUGUUAAUUUUCCAAAAAUCUUCAUGGCUUCAGUAGUAGACAGUAGUUGGGCGAUUGUAAAUAGA